rnacentral:rRNA from 1 species
CAGUCGCCGCGGUAAUACGAGGGGGGCAAGCGUUGUUCGGAAUUAUUGGGCGUAAAGGGUGCGUAGGCGGUUCAGCAAGUCUCGUGUGAAAUCUUCGGGCUCAACCCGAAGUCUGCACGGGAAACUACUGGGCUUGAGUAAUGGAGAGGUGAGUGGAAUUUCCGGUGUAGCGGUGAAAUGCGUAGAUAUCGGAAGGAACACCUGUGGUGAAAGCGGCUCACUGGACAUUUACUGACGCUGAUGCACGAAAGCUAGGGGAGCAAACAGGAUUAGAUACCCCCGUAGUCCCUGUCUCUUAUAU